CGCCGCCACCUCCUCCGCCUUACUACUACAAAUCUCCGCCUCCGCCUCCUCCCUACAAGUAUGAAUCGCCGCCUCCGCCUCCCUACAAGUACGAGUCGCCGCCUCCACCACCGUACUACUACAAAUCACCUCCGCCGCCCCCAUACAAGUAUGAAUCGCCGCCGCCACCACCAUACAAGUAUGAAUCGCCGCCGCCACCACCAUACAAGUAUGAAUCGCCUCCUCCACCACCAUAUAAGUACGAAUCGCCACCGCCACCACCAUACAAGUACGAGUCGCCUCCUCCACCUCCGUACAAGUAUGAAUCGCCUCCUCCCCCACCAUACUACUACAAAUCACCACCACCACCUCCUUACAAGUAUGAAUCUCCCCCUCCACCUCCAUAUUACUACAAAUCUCCACCCCCGCCACCACCUUACUACUACAAAUCACCACCACCACCUUCUCCUGUCUACAAAUAUAAAUCUCCACCACCACCACCUUACAAGUACGAAUCUCCUCCUCCACCUCCAUACUAUUACAAGUCUCCACCACCACCGCCGUAUUACUACAAGUCUCCACCACCACCACCUCCAGUUUACAAAUACAAAUCUCCUCCUCCGCCACCAUAUUACUACAAAUCACCACCUCCUCCAUCACCAGUAUAUUACUACAAAUCUCCUCCUCCACCAGCGUAUUACUACAAAUCUCCCCCACCGCCUGUCUACUAUUACAAAUCCCCGCCACCUCCAGCUUACCACUACCAAUCGCCACCCCCACCAAGUUACAAGCUGGUAGUGGUCACGGGCAAGGUCUAUUGCAACAGAUGCUGGAACACCACAAGCAGAUACCUUCAGGCAUCACCACAUGGGUCUGCUAGGUACAUUCUCAAUUGCAUUGUAUUCGAUAUUGUUCUCCUCACUCAUUUCCUCUUGAUACUGUGUGCAAUAAUGCAGGUGGCAAAGUGAAGAUCACAUGUGGCGAAUCUUACUACUACGGCUACACCAACAAGCAUGGAAUCUUUAGAAUUGAGCUCCCGCACCAAUCCUGGGAAGAAGCAAGCAGCUGCAAGGCCAAGAUUAUCAAGAGCAGCUACAUCAAGUCGUCAUGCAAUGUCAUCACGGACUACAGGUCUGGUGCAACAGGGGCCAAGCUCAAGUUCAAAUCGAAAACAGAGAAGGAGCUCGUCUUGACAGCCGGUCCUUUCAUCUAUGCAACUCCAGAGCCAUCGUCAGUCUGCUUCUACACAUCACCUCCCUAUGAGUACAAGUCACCUCCGCCACCAACACCGGUCUACCAUUACGCCUCUCCGCCACCUCCGGUCUACUACUACAAAUCGCCACCUCCUCCUUCACCGGUUUACUACUACAAAUCCCCUCCUCCUCCUUCGCCGGUCUACUAUUACAAAUCCCCGCCUCCACCACCAUACUAUUACAAGUCCCCACCUCCACCUCCGCCUAAGUAUUACUACAAGUCGCCCCCACCACCGUCUCCAUACUAUUACAAAUCCCCGCCCCCUCCACCGUACUAUUACAAAUCCCCACCACCACCUCCCUACAAAUACGAAUCGCCGCCGCCUCCUCCUUACAAAUACGAGUCCCCACCUCCACCACCUUACUAUUACAAGUCCCCACCACCACCUCCAUACAAAUAUGAAUCCCCGCCACCUCCAGUCUACAAAUAUGAGUCUCCGCCACCCCCAGUUUACAAAUACAAGUCGCCACCACCACCAUACAAGUACGAGUCACCACCACCACCUCCAUACAAGUAUGAAUCCCCGCCACCUCCACCUUAUUACUACAAGUCCCCUCCACCACCACCAUACAAGUACGAGUCGCCACCACCUCCUCCGUACAAGUAUGAAUCUCCACCACCACCAGUUUACAAAUACAAGUCACCUCCGCCGCCACCUUAUUACUACAAAUCCCCACCGCCACCUCCAUACAAGUACGAGUCUCCACCUCCUCCUCCGUACAAGUAUGAAUCUCCACCACCACCACCUUAUUACUACAAAUCCCCCCCGCCACCUCCAUACAAGUACGAGUCACCGCCUCCUCCUCCGUACAAGUAUGAAUCUCCACCACCGCCAGUUUACAAAUACAAGUCACCCCCGCCACCACCUUAUUACUACAAAUCCCCGCCACCACCUCCAUACAAGUACGAGUCUCCACCUCCUCCUCCGUACAAGUAUGAAUCUCCACCACCACCUCCUUAUUACUACAAAUCCCCGCCGCCACCUCCCUACAAGUAUGAAUCCCCGCCACCACCUCCCUACAAAUACGAGUCACCUCCACCACCACCUUACUAUUACAAAUCUCCUCCACCGCCUCCAUACAAGUAUGAGUCGCCACCACCACCAGUCUACAAAUACGAGUCUCCGCCACCCCCAGUUUACAAAUACAAGUCGCCCCCUCCACCUUAUUACUACAAGUCUCCGCCACCCCCGCCAUACAAAUAUGAAUCCCCACCUCCACCUCCCUACAAGUAUGAAUCGCCUCCUCCUCCACCUUACUACUACAAGUCCCCUCCACCACCUCCCUACAAAUAUGAAUCCCCGCCACCACCUCCCUAUAAAUACGAGUCACCACCACCACCACCUUACUAUUACAAAUCUCCUCCACCGCCUCCAUACAAGUAUGAGUCGCCACCACCACCUCCCUACAAAUACGAGUCACCACCACCACCACCUUACAAGUAUGAAUCCCCACCUCCACCUCCGUACAAGUAUGAAUCACCUCCACCGCCUCCAUACAAGUAUGAAUCCCCUCCUCCACCUCCCUACAAAUACGAGUCACCACCCCCACCACCUUAUUACUACAAAUCGCCUCCGCCACCGGAGUAUCAAUCACCUCCUUACGUGUAUAAAUCUCCACCUCCACCCUCGUACUAGGAGCUAAGGAGCAUUUGAUUUUCAGGUGAGAAAUCUAUAGAACCACAGUUCCUAGUUUUAACAAGUUUUCAAAUUCAUCAGGUUGUAAGAAGAGGACGUCGAAGUAGAUACGGAUGUGUAGAUUGGGAUCUCGUUGGCUUUGAGUAGCAAUUUGUUUCCACCAUCGAAGUCUUCUCUCCGCAAUCUUCUCAAGGCGCUCACAAAGCGCUCAGGGGCAGUUUUGAAGUGCAGCGGGACCCCUGCAAAAUAAGCACAGGCUUGUUGAGGAAGUUUGAGAGCUUUUGUUGGUUGCCAAUAAACACAGGGAAUUAGCGCAUAUGUGCGCCCUCCUGGCUUCCAGUUGUGAACGAUUCUGAAGUAAAUAAUUUGAUUCUGCGACUAGAAAGCAUGCUGGACCAUUCUGGAAGUGUCUCCAGGACUGCCAAAAGGCUAAAUCCAAGAUUUUCAAAAGGAUCCGUCUUUCUUCUAAGAAGAUCGAUCUUCUUAGAAGAUCUUGACGUCGCAAGCAAGACCUGAGAUCAAGGUUCACAAUGUAGGAGUCGAUUGCGGGCAUUGAAUGAACGAAAGGAAAUCCUGGCCAGUCUCUCCUUUUCUAGCUCGACACCCGGCAAUCCAGAAGAAAAGGCUGCUCGAUCGUAUUUUCCAUACGAGGACUUUUAUGCCGCAUUGAUCGUUGCUGCUCACCACUUUGACAAUGAAAGGUUUGAAACUCAAGACUAGUUCCUGUGUAGAAAAUGCCAAAAGAAAAUCCACAUCAUAGAAAUGUAAAAAAUGCCAAAAGAAAACCACAUCAUAGAAAUGAGCUCGUGGCCAAAAGAAAUGGAGAUGAGGGGCAUCGAUCCCCUUACCUAUCGCAUGCGAAGCGAUCGCUCUACCAUCUGAGCUACAUCCCCGUUUGAUCUUACCAGCCGCUGAUACCAGGCAUAUUCUCCGAUCGCCGACUUCCUUGCAGGUUCCAAUGGGCGGAAAAGAACACUUCUCGAGGGAGACAUGGAAGCCUGGAAUCGCAAAGGAGAGGGUAGGGUUCCUUGCUUUUUUCGCCCACCAGGUAGCUAUCUCUAAUUCUGCCAAGGAUGCCUAGAAGAAAGCUUGUGGAGAUCGAUGUCACGUCGGAUACGGUGUGCCCCUGGUGCUACAUCGGGAAGAAGAACUUGGAGCGGGCAAUCGAGGCCUCGGCAGACGAAUACGACUUCGAGGUAACUGGUUGGAUUCAUUCCUCCUCUCGAGUCUUAGAACGCUUCGAUCCAAUCACGCAGGUUCGAUGGCGUCCCUACUUGCUGAAUCCCAGCGCCCCCGUCGAGGGUGUUGAUAAGCUUGCUUAUUACAAGUCCAAGUUUGGAGAAGGUCGAUUUUCUUCUAUCGUGGGCCGAUUGAGCAAGGUUUUUUUUACUGUGAUGAUCUAGCAAAUGCUUAUUAGUAAGUCUAAGAUGAUAAAUUGGUUCUCAGGUGUUUGAGGAUGUUGGACUCGAAAUCAACUUUGGCGGCCUCACGUAAAGAUCAUCACGCUUUAAUCUUUGUGUGUGUGUUAACUUUGUGGGAUUUCCACAGGGGAAACACUCUGGACAGCCACAGGCUUAUCGAACUGGCUGGACGUCAAGGCUAUGACAAGCAGAACGCGCUUGUCGAGGAGCUCUUCCUCAACUAUUUGACUCAAGAGAAAUACAUCGGUGACAGGUUUCUCUUCUUCUCCCUCGGCGAAGAUUUGUGAGAUCUCGGUUGAGCUGACAUGGUCUCGUUUGAUCAGGCAAGUUCUGGUGGAUGCCGCGGACAAAGUUGGAGUCACGGGGGCCAGCGAGUUUCUCGCUGAUCCUAAUGCCGGCCUCAAGGAGGUUUGUUUGUUUCUUUUAUCUCCAAGGCUUCAGCGUCGCGAUGUUCUACUGUUGCGCAGGUCCUGGAACAACUCAAAAAAUAUGGCACUGGAGUGAAUGGUGUCCCGCAUUUUCUAGUAAGCACAACUCUAAACUUUGAUGGUGAUCACUAAACUUUCGUCGUCCUCUACAGGUGAAUGGCAAGUAUCAACUCUCUGGCGCCCAGCCACCCAGCUCCUUUAUCGAAGUUUUCAAGAAGAGCUAGCUAGACUUAUGGUCUCUUUACAUCUUCUAGUGUGAAAGAAUCUCUCUCUCUCUCUCUCUCUCUCCCUCUCCAGACUUAUGGAAGCCAGCGAGUGCCUGGCACUGCUCGAUCGUUGCAAGACACUGUCCGUGGCCAAGGACAUCCAUUCCCGCAUCCAAGGAAACGUCCACAGCUCCGCGGCCAUCGCCAACAAGCUGAUCGAGGUCUACGGCCGGUGUGGGAGCAUCGACGAUGCACGCAGGGUGUUCGAUGCCACCAAUGCCAAAGACGCGGUUUCGUGGGUCGCGAUGCUCUCUGUCUACACUCGCAACGGGCAUCCAGAAGACGCCAAGCGCAUGUUUGAGAACAUGCCAGAUCGAUCUCCAGCGUCCUGGAAUGUCAUGUUGCUUGUCUACGUCCAAGCUGGGAAUCUACAAGCUGCAAGGCAACUGUUUGAAGAGAUGCCGGAACAGACUCUAGUGUCCUGGAACACUAUGCUCUCUGCAUAUGCCAAAGCCGGGCAUCUUGACACAGCGAAAGAGUUGUUUGAUGCAAUGCCGCAUCACAACAUCAUCUCUUUCUCAGCUAUCCUUCCCGCGUUUGUGGAGAAUGGGCUCCUUGACGAUGCCAGGAUCUUGUUCGAUUCCAUGCAAGAGAGCAACCUCGUGUGCUGGAACACUCUCCUGUCGGCCUACACGCGGCACGGGCACCUCCAGGAAGCGGCUCUCCUCUUCGCCGACAUGCCGGCACGGGACAUUGUCUCCUACACCGCACUCUUGUCGGCUCUCUCGCAGCACAGCCGGCUAGAAUAUUCUAAGAUCCUCUUCGAGGAGAUGCCAGAGAGAAGCAUCGUGUCGUGGACCGCGAUGCUGACUGCAUAUGCCCAAAACGGGUGUCUGGCGGAAGCGAAGGAGAUAUUCGACAAGAUGCCGGAGCGUGACUUUGUGUCAUGUACUGCUAUUCUUGCGGCGUACAGCGAAGCCGGGAUGGUUGACAGGGCAAGGUUUUGUUUCGAUCGGAUGCCAGAGCGAAACAUGGUUACUUGGACUACCAUGCUUGCUGCAUAUGCCCAGCGUGGGCUUGUUGACGCCGUCGCCAAGUUGUUCCAGAAAAUGCCCCAGAGUGAUCUCAUAGCUUGCAACACCAUGGUGAGCGCAUACGGUCAAAGCGGGCGGCUGGACGAGGCUGUACAGGUGUUUGAAGUGAUGCCGGUGCGAAGCCUGGUGACAUGGAAUGCUAUGCUAGCUGCUUAUGCCCAAAACUGUCAUCUUGAGAGCGCAAAGAAGGUAUUUGAUUCAAUGCCUAUGAAGGAUCUCGUUGCCUGGACGGAAAUGCUCGUAGCUUAUGCCCACGCUGGUCAUUUGGAAGAAGCUAAGUGUGUCUUUGACAAAAUGGCACAGAGGGAUGUGGUUUCCUGGAAUGUAAUGGUUACUGCGUUUGGCCAAAACGGCUACCUGGUUGAGGCCCAGCGGUUGUUUGAAUCCAUGCCAUUUCACAGUGUGAUGUCUUGGAACUCCAUUCUGGUUGCAAACAGCCAAUUUGGUGGAUUGCAGGGCUCGAGAUUAGUUUUUGAUGAGAUGCCAUGCCGUGAUACUGCUUCCUGGAGUGCAUUGCUCUUCGCUUAUGCCCAACAUGGACUUGACCAGAAAUGCAAGUUUCUAUUCGAUAGAAUGCCAGAGAAGUCUGUUGUCUCAUGGAACUCCAUGUUAGCCGCAUACACAUACAGUGGUAACUCUGUAGCAGCGAUGGAGCUGUUUAGUCUCAUGAAGAUGAAUGAAUUGCCUAACGAGACAUCUUUUCAUCUGGUUUUAAUCGUGUGCAGCCGCAGAAGAAGCGCAUCUGAAGGGAGGAGACAAUUCCUUUCAAUGUACGCGGACUUUGGGAUAUAUCAAGGAAAACAGCAUUUUCACCUCGUCCUCGAUCACUGGACCGAAGCCAAGGAUGGAUUUCCAUCUGAGCCAAGCAAUGCAGCUCUGGCGAAGAACCAGGUGACAGAAAACUUUCAUAGUUGACAUACUCUUUUCAAGGCAUUUGACAGGAGAAUGUAUGGCAACCGGUUUUGCUCAUCGACUCCGACGGCAUUCCUUGCAGCAGCCGCUCCCUGCUGCGUGUCACCAUGGAUAUCACACGCAGAGAGGAGAGUGGCCCAAUUCUUGAGCUCUGGAACGUAUGGCAUGCUCUCGAUCAGCCCUUUAGCCUCGUCAAGCUGCCCAGCUCGAGCAAGAAGAUCGACAAUGCAGCGGAAAUGGCUGGCUCGGGCAUCCAAGCCGUAAUCCAGGUCCAUGAACACGAAGUGCCGCCAUGCCAAACCGAAGAAUCCCUCGUGUCCCAAGGCCGAGAUGAGACUGAGCAGUGUGAUCUCGUUGGGAUCCCAGCCGUCCAGCUUCAUCAACUGGAAGAGCUCAAGAACACACCUCACGCGCUUCAAACUCCGCUCCCUGCGUCGCUGCUGCUCCUGCGGCCGACUGGAAUCCUCUCGUCGCGUGUAGACCUGCAGCAUCAUGUUCCAUGCCACCACCGUGCGCUCCGGCAUCAUUCGAAAGAGCUUCCUGGCCUCAGUGUGAUGCCCGCUUCGAGAAUACGCAGUUAUCAUGGAUGACCAUGAAAUGCUGUCUUUUACGUGCAUGCUAUCAAAAACUUUCCUUGAAACGUCUAAGAAUCCCGCUUGGAUGUAAGCGAAGUUCAUAGCGUUACACGCUGCCAGACUUUGACACGGCAUUUCUACAAAUAAACUCCUGGCUUCCUCUACAUGCCCGACUUGGGCAUAUGCCGCCAGCAUGGUAGUCCACGUCACUUGGUCACGGACGGGCAUGGAGUCAAAGAUGUCUCGGGCUUGUUCCACGUGUCCGUGGUCGCAGUAGCCUGCCACCAGGGACGUCCACGUCACUAUAUCCCUGGCGGGCAUGCUGUCAAACAGCGUCAUGGCAGCUCCAAGGUGGUUGUUCUUCGCGUAGCCUUCAACCAUUGCAUUGCAAGCAAUGCCAUUCCACACGGGCAUUCGAUCAAACAGCGCCUUGGCAUCAUCUAGCUUGCUGCUUCUCAACAGAAUUACUAGCAUUGUAGUGAAAGACACCUCGUCCCUCUCUGGCAUCAUUUCGAAAAACUCAAUCGCUUCAUUCAGCCUCCUGUCGCCAUCGCCAUCUUGCGAAUGUGCCGCAAGCAUGCUGUUCCAGGCUAUUAGAUCCUGCUCUGGCAUCUCACUAAAGAUCUGCUUCGCAAUGUCGAAAUGCCCACUUGCGGCAUUUGCUGUGAUAAUGGCAUUCCAUGCGACGGUACCAUGUUCGGGCAUUUUCUCAAAAGUAUCCCUUGCCUUUGAAAUCUCUUUGUUUAGUGUGUAGCCUUGCAGCAUUGCGUUGUACGUUAUUUCAUUCCGAACAGGCAUUGAAUCAAACAGAAGUUUUGCGUUUUCCAGAUCCUCGCCUUUGGCAUAUGCUAAAACCAUGGCAGUCCAUGAUACAACAUCCCUCUCCGGCAUGUCCUUAAACAGCGUGCUUGCUUGAUCAAAGUUUCCAAUGUCAGCAUACGCGGCUAUAAUAGUAUUCCAAGAAACAAGAUCUCUUUGAGGCAUCGAAUCAAACAUAGACCUCGCUUGUCCCAAAUGCCCAUUCUGGGCAAGUGCAGACAUCAUGAUGUUCCAGGAGAAAACGUUGGGCUUGUAAAGUUGGUGAAACACCAGCCAUGCUUGCUCGAGCUGCCCACACCUUCCAUACAUGUCUACCAAAAGAUUUCCGAGGUAUCUGUUUGAUCUGUGCUCGCUAGCAUUGAUCUGUGCGUGAACACAUCGUCCUCGGUCGAGGUCCUUGGAAUUGCCGCAUGAUCUGACAAGGGACCCAAACCUCGCGAGCUCCUCGAUGGAUUGCAUUGUUUCUCUCGAGCGCGUGGGCGAUAGCGAUUCAUCCAAGAAUGGUGGAUGCCUCUCGCAAUCUCUUGUGCCAUAUACUAAGAUAUGAUUGUGUCAAAUGCUUGCGAGGCAAGAGCGCAUCGAGCACUAUGCAUCGCUCAUCCGAUCUUGCCAAGAUACACGCCAGGGGAGACAACUCCACGAGCGCGUCCUGGGCAGCGAGUUUCGGAGGAACAGAUACUUGGGCAAUUUGUUGGUAGAGAUGUAUGGCAAAUGCGGGGAUGUAGAGAGCGCAAGGCAGGCGUUCCGAGAGGUCUAUGAGCCCAACACAAUCUCGUGGAAUAUAAUGAUCGCGGCGCUCUCCGAUAACGGCUACGUUGAGGACGCUCGUGCCGUGUUUGAUCAAACGCCUUACAAAGAUGGUGUCUCCUGGAACACCAUUCUUGCAGCAUAUGCCCAAGCGGGGCAUAUUGUAGAGGCGCGUAAAAUCUUUGAGGAAAUGCCAGCGAAAGACGAGGCAUCCUUUACCGCUUUGAUUUCGGCUCUUGGGAGGAUUGGAGAGGUGAGGGCUGCCAAGACCAUCUUUGAUGGCAUGCCGGUGUGGAACACCAUGUCGUGGAACACCAUGCUCCAGGUAUUUUCGACGAAUUCUUAUGUAGAAGAAGCGGAGAAGAUGUUUGAAACGCUGCUGGAGAAGAAUGUUGUGUCGUGGACUGCUAUGAUCGCCGCGUGUGGUGAGCAAGGAAACCCGGAGAAAGCCAGGGGAUACUUUGACACGAUGCCUCUCUUUGAUCUUGUAGCUUGGUGUAGCAUUGUCACCGCAUAUGCCCAAAAUGCGCAUGCUGGAGAGGCCAAGUUUUUGUUCGACAUGAUGCCUGAGCACAACCUGGUCGUCUUUAAUGUCAUGGUUCUGGCUUACGCACAAAACGGAAACUUUGAUGAAGCACGCAGCAUGUUUGAGCAAAUGCCGUUCCGGGACUCAGUCUCUUGGACUGCCAUGGGAACGGCAUAUGCGCAAAAUGGGCAUCUCCAAGAAGCAUGGAAAGUGUUUGAGGUCAUGCCGGAGAAGAACUUGGUAUCUUGGAACGCUAUGAUACAAGCCGUCUCGCAAAUCGGAAGGCUGGAUGCGAUGGCCGAGCUGGGAUACUCUCGGCUGCUCAACGAUCGUAAUAGAAACCAAUGGAGGACUCUGAGAGACAAGAGCGUAGCGGAGGCUCUUGGCCACCUCUAUCUCAUGCUUCUCGAUGGCUGGGAGCCAAACGAGGUGACAUACUUGAGCUUGGUUUCCGCUUGCGGUCACGCAGGGAUGCUGAAAGACGCAUUGUCCCACUUCAAGGCAAUGACUUUCGACCACCGCCUGCGUCCUCAAGCCGGCCACUUCAGGUCCAUUCUGGAUCUCCUGAGCCGCGCAGGGAGACUGGCCGAGGCCAAGGAUCUCAUCCAAAACAUGCCGUUUGUCCCGGAGACUCCUGCGUGGGCGACGCUACUUUCGGCUUGUGGAACACAAGGUGACUCGAGACAGGAAAGUUCUAGCGUUGCACAGAGUGUGCUCGAGAUGAGGUCCGGGAGCUGUGGAUCCUACGUUCUCAUCUCCAAUCUAUACUCCGCAAAGAAGUACGCAAGACAGUGAAUCGCUCUCUGGCGAAGCGACGAACUUAGAGAGCCAAAGUUGCAUCUCUUCCAUGGAAGGACGCCAAAGGAAGGACGGCAUAGACAAAAUGCCAAACUUCUGUGCGUCUCGGUCCGAGGUAGUGACGCUGGCAAGAGACAAGAGGGAAGGCUCAAGCUUAAAGAUCCAAGGACAAGCUCUCCGGUGGGAUUCGAGCGGGAGAGAAGUAGGCCAGCAGCAUCGAAACAAGAGCACACGCCAAAACCAUCGCUCGAAUCAGUAAGAUCAUUAAGAGAACACUAAGUGAAAAGACACAAAGUAGAAGAAAAGAAAAGCCUCCAUUUUUAUUUACAAACGCAAAGUCCCACUAGUACUACGAUCAAUCGUUUUAUCAUGAGCAGCACCCAGCUUUCUUUUUUGUUCUUGGAUCCUCACAGUGAUGGGCGAUGCGAUCGGCGAGGAAAGAGGCAGUUCAUCACCAUCACGUACUGUCGAGAAAGGGAAGCUUGGCGAGGAGCCACAUAUAUAAAUAUACCAUCGCGAUCAUGUCAAAGCUGGCGACGCUCGGGGAGCGAUGGCGCUGGAGCGGAUGAAUUGGAGCACCUCGGGCAUGAACACGUAGCUCACGGUUCCAUCGGGCGUGACGAAUCCAUGCGUCGCGUCCGGAUACUCUACGAGCUUCACCUCCACGCCGCUCUCGCGCAAGAAAUCCGCGUAGGCGACCUGGCGGUCGUGGAGCAAGUCUCGCCCGCCCACGAUCACCAGCGCCGGCGGGAGAUUGCAUGGCAGCGGCUGCGCGGCCGCGAGAGGAUCGCAGAAGGGAUGGUCGCGCGACGCGCCAUCCGGGAGCGCAAGGCUCCACAGCUGGUCGCUCAUGGCGAGCGUGAGGAUGGGGCCGUCGGAGAGGCGGAGCUCCGAGGCGGUCCUGUGCGCGCCACCAAAGAAUGGCUGGAGGAGGAUCUGGGCGGCGAAGCUGAGAGGAGGGAGGAGCGCGCGCUUGCUCUUGGACGACUCGAGCACCAUGAGGAGCGCGUUGUGGACAAUGUUGCCGCCAGAGCUUCCGCCCAUGAAGAUCAAGCUGGAGAAGUCGGCAUACGAGGCUAGCCAGGGAUCCCUUUGAGGAAGAUGGUGGUCGCCACCAUCGCGCAAGCUCGUGAUCUGGUGGUGGUGAUCAUGACUAUCACCAUUGCCAUCCACAGUAGCGCUGGCAGCAUCGCCACCAUCGCCAUCGCUGGUGGAGAGAAGAGCUUGGGCUCGGAGCCAGUGGAGCGCCGAGACGAGGUCUUGGUAGGCGGCGGGGAGGCACGAGGCCGGCGCCAAUCUGUGGUUGAGCGAGACAACAAGAGCAGUGGCAUCAGUGGCUACCUUCUUGCAGAAAUCGUGGUACGAGGACGUGGCGGCGCUGAAUCGGACGAAUCCUCCGCCGUGGACAUGGACCACAAUGGGGAGCUUGCGCUUGGAAUUGAUCUGGAGCGCCGCCGCGGGGAGAUAGAGCCUGACCCACACACGACCAUCGCCACCGCCGAGCUUGACAUCCCGCGACGCCACACCAUCCGCGAAGCUGGAAUCCGCGGCAACCUCGGGGAUUUCCCAGCUCUGCGCGGACGCUGGCGGCCCUGUGGAAUCGCCCAUCAUGCUCUAGCUCUCUCGCGCUCCCGGAGAGAGAGAGAGAGAGAGAGAGAGAGAGAGGCGCGGCGCGGUGAAAGAAUCAAAGAAAUAACUCGUAGAAAACGCGGAGCAAAUCCUGCGCUCCUCCAAUCCAAUCCUGCGCAGCGCUUCUUCCUUCUCCAGGUUUUGUAGCUCUCGCUCCUCUCCGCUCUAGCUACGCGGCCCAAGAGCUUGAUUAGCCACAUUCUUCUUUUUCCAUUGUUUAAGCUUUGCCAUGGACCCUCUCUUGACAAUGCUUCACCAACAAUCACGAAAGUGAAAGGCGCGCAUAAAUAUUCCUCUAAUCGCUCUCUCCUCGCUGCAGAUCUCCCUUGCGGGGUGGAUCUAGAGGAUGAUCUAUGCGUAAGUUAUUUGCACCACACGAGAGGGUGAUUGAUUGAUUAUCAAAUCGCGAUUUGAUAAACCCCGCGGUAUAGCUGUUCCUCAUAUGCGAAUUAUAUCCAUGCGAGCGUGGUCUCGCCUUGGCGAUCUCGCUGUCCACGAGCAUCCGGAUGCUCCACCCCUCGCAAGCAAUUCGCUCUCGAUCGAGUGUAACUCUCUCGCUUUUCCCGCUUAGCAGACAAUGUAAACAAUCGAUCGAUCGCUCUCGUGCUCUUUGGUUGCUCGAGAAUGCUGACAAGAGUUCGCUCUGUGGCAUAGAUUAUCUAAGCAAAGUCUGCGAGUGUGGCGAAGGAGAUCUCCCAGCGACACUUGCUAAAAAAAAAAAAAUCUUGUGCAAAGCACUCGCGGCCAAGGGUGGGAGUGAUGCGUCCAUUGCGAAUGAUUGGCAUAUGAGUUAUCGCGGGUGUAUGAUGAGAUAAUCACAAACCACACUCAAACAAACCAAACAACCUCAACCUUAUAGAAUCGCAAACAUUAUUCCUGGUGGGAAUCCUGGCAAAGACUUUGAAAUUUCUGCCACCACCCGCCCUACCUAGUCUAUGAUCCGAGCGAGCGAACGCGGCAAAACAAAGAGAGAGAGAGAGAGAGAGGAAGAGAAAAAAAAAAGCAAGAAAGAGAGAGCGGAAGAUUCCUUUUUCUCUCAACAAAAGCCGAGAGAGAGAGAGAGAGAAGAAGAGAAAAAAAAGCAAGAAAGAGAGAGCGAGAGAGCGGAAGAUUCUUUUUUCUCUCAACAAAAGCCGAGAGAUUCCUUUAUUUCAACCAAAGCUACCUAUAUUAUUCGAUAUUCGCUUUCUUUCUUCACGGGUGUGACCACUCAACUCCUUGAUUCAUAGGCAAGGUGAUAGAAACUUUAGUUUUUCCUCCAGCGAAACAACGUGGUGGCUGAUGCUCUGACUUGAUCCAAAACAUAUAAUCGAUCGUGCCACCAGAUUUACGAGGAAGCAUACAUCCUCCAUAGCCGCAAGCCAAGACAAGCGACCAAGCGAGCCAAGACGCAAGCUAGCAAUCAAGCAAAGCAGCACAGACACAUGAUCUCAUUCAUCGCAUCAUCGUGCUCAGCGCUUGGGUGAUCUCAUCCUGCAGCGCAAGAUUUGGGAUUGUCGCAGAUUCCUUUGGUUGAAUCCACAACUUGGUCCUGUCGAUCAUGUCCUGGAUUCGUUAAUUCACGCUCUCAUACAGCCCAGUCACAGCUCACUUUCUUCCUUCCCAGAGUGGAAGCAAAGCAAAUCACACCGAGGGAGAGACGAAGAAAAGCGCCGAGACAAAAUCCAAACCACAAGACGUAUGCUUCCGUGUGGCAGAGCCGUAGCUCCACCAUGAAGCCAAAAAAAAAAAAAAAGGAAAAAUAGUCGAAGAAAAGAGUACGAGAAAGAAAAGGAAGAAAUAUACCUACGUGCUACGUACAAACAAAUGCAUGAGACGCGACAAAGCAUGAAUGGGAGAGAGAGAGGCCGAGGAAAAAAAAAAAAAAAACUGAUAGAAGAGAUGGAAAAACUAUUCUUUGUUUCUAGGAGGCAUCUGAAAAGGGAGUAAUACCUCUGUGUCCACUGAAGCGAUGUCCUUGCUUUUCUCGCCGCGGCCUUGCUUCAAUUCAAGCCUUGGGUCUGAGUCUUGCUUCUCUCUCGCUCUCUCGUACUGCUCGUCUCGUCUGGAGAGAUUCCAGUUGUUUAGUAUUCCAAAAUCAAGCACUUAAGUACCUCCUUCUCUUUCUCCUGGAGUCCGAGCCAUUUACUCGGAAGGCUUGGAGGGGUCGCUCUUUGAUAGCCUUCCGUAGCACGGGAUGUAAGUUGUAAUUUAGACUGGGAUGGUUCCUGCCUGGCAAGCUUGUAUAGUUUCAAACCAAAAAGAAAAGGAGAAAGUUGCUUACGAAGGUUUACGUCUGAUCUUUCCAGAUGAUGUCUUUGAGUCCCGUUGUGAACGACUGGUGGAACUGCGCAGCGACAGCAUAUUGUUAAUGUUGAUGGCGAGGAAGAGAAAUAAAGAAGAGUCAAACAGUUGCCUUGUGAUACUCGAGUGUAUCGCCACCAGAUUUCCGUAGCUCCACCACGUAAAAAGACGGUGCAACUUCGAAGACCUGAGAGCAGAGCUUUUGUACGAGAGAAUGAGAACCAAAACGCUUUACCUCCGUGCACACCGAAAGAUGGCCUUUCCUACCUCGCUUUGACCCUUGCAGCGUCAUCUGAAGGAAAGUGCUUGUCCAACUCAUGCAAUCCUUUUUAGAACUAUACCUUGUAGUUCCUCUUCUGGAUAUGGAACCCCAGCGGUCUCGCAGUUUCUUCUAUUGUUCUCACAAUCUCUUUCGCAGGAUGUUUCGAUGUGAACCGUGACUCGCGUUCCACCUCCUACAACAAGUUACGCGAUCGUGAGCAUCUCUAUAGAGAGGAAAGAUAAAUGCUUGAGGAUACUUACACGAUGCUCGAAAAGGCCUGACAAGUUGAAUCCUCGCGACAUCGAUAUGAUCUCAAAAGCAUUCAUGGUGACUGGUUGUGGCUCCUCUUUCUCCGCCACAAGAUGAUCCUGCAAGAAAAUUUCAGUUCUCUUUCAUGUCAAUUUGCCAGACACGCCGUCCUACCUCAGAGCCAUUAAACACCGCAUCAAUGUCGUCAAGGUUGGGACUUUGUUCCUUUCCAAGUGUCAUUGGUUUGUGUUCGACUUGAAACCACUCAUUGUCCAUUAUCCUGGAGAUGGAUAUGCGCUGACGCACAAAUUCGGAAAAGGGCGAGAGAGAGACCAGCACAAGCAAAUAUUACUACAUCAAUGAUGCCAAUUUAAUUCUUACUGAUUUCGGAUUUGGAUCCAGUAUCUUUUGUACAAGCUUUCGGGAGCCCCUUGAAAACCAAUGCGGAAAUGUAAAAUCUGCGCGAUGCAUCUAAUUCGCAUUUAAUUCAUGUCAGCUGAACAGGAAAAACAACCAAACAGAUGUUUUCAUACCUUCUUGUACAGUGCCACCAGAUUAGGCUCGUCAAAUGGCAAGUAUCCAGCCAAGAGGACGUAUAAAACAAUUCCGCAAGACCAGAUAUCGGCUUUGAAACCGUCGUAGCCUUUGUCACUGAUGACCUGUAGAACGAUAAGUUCACACAAGCUAAAACAACAAGCAACGCAGUUACCUCGGGAGCUACGUAGUUUGGCGUUCCACACGUUGUAUGAAGAAGGCCAUCCGACUGUAAAAUCAUUCACUAAUUUAAUGAGCGAGUUCUCUUAUGGUGAACUUAACUCGGCACUGUUGAGGAAGGGCACUUAGACCGAAGUCUGAGAUUUUCAAGUUUCCAUCUGAAUCCAAUAGCAAGUUCUCUGGCUGCCAAAACAAACGCUUCUAAGUCGAGAGCUCUACAAAUAUCAGUUCGUUUCUUUCGAGAAUCACCUUUAAGUCACGGUGGCAGACACCCCUGCUGUGACAAUAAUCCACAGCAUCGAUCAGUUGCUGGAAAUAUAUUCGGGCUUUACGUUCAUCUUGCUUUCCCUCUCGCGCCUGGACGAAAAAGAAAUAAAAAGAAAUCUAUGUCAUUCUUUAAUGAAAAACUGUCAGAUGCCUUACGAUCUUGUCAAACAUUUCUCCACCUGUGACAUAUUCCAUAACCAUAUAAAUCUUGGUCUUGCUGCCUAUAACCUGUAAAGGAAAGUCUCACCACCAAAAAAGAAGAGCUUUGGGAAAUGGUUGAAAUAUAAGCUUACUUACCUCAAACAGCUGAAUGACGUUGGGAUGUCUCACCAGCUUCAUUGUAGAAAUUUCGCGUUUGAUCUGUAAAGUUCGUCAAGAUGACCAGCAAUGAAAGCGAGCUCGACCAUUUCUGCUUUACCUGAUCGACCAUCUUGUGCUUCAAAAUCUUCUCCUUGUCCAAGAUCUUAAUCGCGACGCUCUCGUUCGUCUCCAAGUUCCUGGCGUACUUGACCUUGGCAAAAGUACCUUCUCCAAGUGUCCGUCCCAGCUCAUACUUCCCAACGCGAGUUCUCCGGUAGCUCAUUCCUUCCCCCUCUGGAUGGAAUUCCUAAUCCUCAAGAGCGACACAACGCAUUUGAUCCCAGUCACAGGCUCGAGGAGAUCGCCGAGGGAAACAAGAUCCAGGCCGGAAGAUCAAGCGUGCCGAGUGGAAAUGCAGCUGCGAACAAGCCAAGAGAAAGUGAUGGGUGGAUCCAUGCAAUGCGCGCGGGCUGGCGAGCGAGACAUUGAUUACCUGCCGUGCCCACCGAGAAACCCUAAGUCGCGAGUCGCAAGAAGCCGCGCACUGUUCCAUCGGCGAGGAAGAAGAGAAGGAGCCGCCUCGUUGGAACAGGGGGGCGGGCCGUACACGUCACGACGCGGCGGCGUACGGACGUGGUCCAGAAAGACAGGAACUAAUUAGGGCAACGGUGGCGCCACCAAAAGAGCAUUGGGGGCGUGGUUUUCGCUCGCCGCGAUUCGAGACAAUCUUUGGAUGUGCCACCAACCUUGUGUGCAUUAUACACAUAAAAAUCAUACAAUUGUUGUAAAUGUGGGUGCUGGUUUUCCAACAAAAGAUUUGAUAGAGAGCAUCGAAUCAUAUCGCACCGCCAAAACACUUUGUCCGUCCAUUGUCUCCUCUAGAGCGCUUAUUCGCGGGCUAGAGUCGUGGUAAAAACCGCGGUGAAAAAAACCGGGCGCGGUAAAACAGCGGCGACAAUUUGGUGGCGCCAACUUCCUAGAAAGCUUGCAAAUCCACCUAGGGCCUGUGGCGACGCCAAAUUUAAGAAAGAUUUACCAAAAUUACCACACCACCCGUGCGUUUUUCACCUUUGACCACGGACCAGGGCAUAUUCCCCGCCCGGGAAUCCUUGGCUUCGCUGGAGGGGAGAUCCGGAAUCGUUUAGUUUUCUUGUUUCGUGGGUGCCGGCUGGCGCAAACGGGAGGAGUGAGGAACACUUGACAAACACAAUGUCAAAUCCAGAUUGAAUACCAAUUUGGCGAAUAUCCCCCCAAUCUCCAUAUUUGUAAAGUAGAGAAGCGAGAGAUUUGUUUGGCGCCGGGAUCAUGAUCAUAUGCCAAGAUCUCUGCGCAAAUCUUUCCAACAGUGCCAAGGUCAUGCUCAUGCGCAACAAUUGGAGCGAGUCGAGAAGAGACACUCCGCAGCCGUGAUUUUUGUAUGGAUUCUUCGUGACGAAAGUGGGGUCAAAUGGGUUUUGUAUUGUUAUGCUUGGGCCACAUUGACCAGCUCUCUAAUUUCCGCCACGCACAACCAUAUCCCAAAUCUUUGAAAAAACAAAAGCGAAAAGGCAAAAUCUUUGCGCAACAAAAGGUGGCGGACCAAACUAGACAUCUAAAUUUUUCUAAGCUUCUCGUUUCCGAUCAUACAGCUUAGGUACCUGCCUAGUGUUUGAAGCCAGGCGAAAAUCAAUCAAUGUAACUCCCGGCUUUUCACUUUUGACCGCGCGGUAAGAAACCGUGUUUUUACCCAGUCGUGGUGGACGAGAUUCGCCAGGAUCUCGCCGGAGGUUGUUUGCCGGCGCCGGGACCUCAGCAAAUCCGCCAAAGAUUUUAUAGCGCCCAGCAAAUAAUUUAAAAACCAUGGAAAUUUCAGCGAAUCAUAUCUCCAUCCUGGGGGCUCGUCAAUCUGACAGAGCCAAACCGACGACCGACGGCUGCGGUCACGACACGUGUCAGAGGAGCGUUUACCGGACAGAAUACGUCAGUCUAAUCAGUCAGUGUGAUGGCUUUGCUUUGGCAUUCAUUCGUUUGUUUGUUCAUUCUUUCUUCUCUUUUCUCUCGCGUCGCAUCGACAGCUCCUCAUCUACGGCGUCAAGGAUUCCAUCGAUCGAUCGAUCCAUCCGCCAGGUCGUCAAUCGCGCGGCGCUCGCGGCAGUCGCGGCGCGGCUCGAUCGGCGGCACGGAAAGAGGUAUGUGGAUUUGGGCGAAAUCGCGGAGAUUUUCUGGCAUGGGAAGCGGCAGCAAGGGCGGGAUCGAAGCGGAAGAAGCUGCCUGUGAUGCGUGACGCAAUGCUCGCGCGGAGCAUUGGAGCUCUCCUCUCCAUCGCCGAUGAUGUCCUGUCGAGCCUGGUGGAUUAUCGGAGCAGCAAUCGUCUAGGAUUGGAAUUGGAGCAGGGAGGAGGAGGAGCGAUCCAUAAUCUGGCCAGGGCGGGUGUAAUGCAGGAGGGAUCGCCGAGUCCGGCCGUGGAGACAGGGAAGCUCUUCAAGGAGGUAUCCAGGGCAUUUAGCGGUAGCAACCAAAAGGAUGAAUUCCUGGUCGCGUCCACCACUAGCACGACGAGCAGCUCCUCGUCGCCUCAUGCAUUGCUCGCGUCCAGCGCGCAGCAGCUCAAGCACAGAUUCAAGACGUCACACAAGAGAUCUCGCCUCGAGGAGCUCCUCAUCGAGUCCACGCACUCGGAGAAAUUGGGAUCGUCUCACACGGCGCUCCCAGGGUCAGGGACAGGGACAGGGCUGGACAAGCUAGUCGUGACUUUGGCACUGCUUUUAUCCUCGGCCAUCUUGCUCGUGUGGUACUUGACGCCGGCCGCGGUACUGGUUUGGGCCGUCCCGGCAGCGAUGGUGUCACUGGCGAUUUGGACGAGAUUUGUUCGCUGCGAUCCGCCGAGUUCCAGGGAGAUUUGCGUGCAAGGGCAGUGUUCCGGGUGUAGAGUAGUGAGCCAGGACAAGCAAGAGGAGGAGGAGCAGCAGCUGGCCCAGCGAGCUCAUCGUGCCAAGCAACAAUUCAUGGCUUAUGUGUUCCAUAACAUAAGAGGUGAGUUCGUUGCUAGGCUAGAAGUUUCUUUUUCUUUCGCUCUUCCGUAUAGAUGGUGCGAGAACUAUUUCGUGAUUUUCUGACGUACCUUUGGCUUCUCCGUGCAGUCCCUUUCAAUGCGAUCGUCCUGGGAUUGGGUCACAUGCGUGCUUCAGCGUCCGGGGAUGACUCCAGUUCCGGGGAGCUAGACUUGGUGCAACUAAUGCUAGACUGCGCCGAGACAAUGACAAACGUGCUUGAUGAUGUUACUGAUAUGGGUAAGGUGUCCAUGUCUCGACUCGAGUCUCGACUUUUACUUAUGAUUGUUCUCGACAUAACUAACGAAUGAUCGGUCAUCCACAGGAAACUGGGAGGAGGGGCGCAUUGAGCUUCACCGAGAUGUGUUCGACUUACUGGCGGUGGUGAAGUUCCUGGCGUGGGGUUUGAAAGAUUUGCUCGAGCAGAAACAAAUAUCUCUCAACAUUGAUAUCGAUCCGGUCGCCAGCAAGAUUUUGAAGUCCCACAACAUUGUCGGUGACAAGCACCGGACUGUACAGACGCUAGGUAAUCAAACUCCUCCACGUCUGACUCUCACUCACGCUCUGCGCAAGCAGGCAAUUUUCUCAGUAAUGCCGUCAAGUUCACGCCUACCGGGGGAAAGCUCGACCUGGAGAUCAAGUGUCAAGAGCUCGACGGGGUCCCGGUCUCAAACUCCAAAGGCUUUGAGACCGACGAGUUAGAGCACAAGUCCCUGGAGCUCUUUAUUGCCGUCAAUGACUCUGGCGCAGGUAACGUUUCUUUCUUCGCGAUCGCGAUGCUUUGUUUUGUUCUGACUUGAAAGUCUGGUGCUCGGACAGGAAUUUCCUUAGAUGACCAAGACAGACUCUUCGAAGCGGACUCUUUCAUAUCGUCUCCUUGGGUCCAGAAAGCUGGUGUUUCCGGCCUGGGCUUAAGUGUUGCGAAACGCUUCAUCGAACAGAUUGGUGGUCAGAUCGGGGUACGCUCGCGGGACCAAGGAAGUACGUUCUUCUUCUCCGCUCCAUUUCUGCUGGUUCCGAUACAAAAGCGCACGAACUCGUCAGUCCCGGCCUCUGGGAUCUUCUAUAACAUGAGGUCUACAGACUCCGUAAGCAAAGAGAAGCGAAAGUUGGAACGCCUCAGUGACCUUGACGCCCAACUCAAGUGUUCGCCGGGUGCUGUGCUGCCACAAGACGCCUCUCCGUGCAGGAGAAAGGUGCUGCUAGUGGAAGACACGCGGAUAAACAGAGUAAGUCUCGUCUUUGGCUAUAUCGGUGCGCAUUUUACUUACCAUCAUCUUGGCUGUACGUACAGAUUAUCUUGCGGAAGGUUCUUCAGAACCUCAAUCUCCAAUGCGACGAGGCAGAGAACGGCCAGAUUGCUGUCGACCUGCACAGGCAGGGCAAGUCCUACGAUCUGGUGUUGAUGGACAAGGAAAUGCCUGUCAUGGACGGACACGAGGUAAGAGUUCUUAGAACUGAGUUUUCCUUUCUCUCCAAAGUAUGCUAACGUAAGUUCCUGGCAGGCAACUAGAGCUCUGAGGAUGAUGGGUGUGAAGACUCCAAUCGUGGCCUUAACUGGCAAUGCUUUGCAGUCGGACAAGGAGCUCUUUUUCGAAGCCGGGGUGAAUGAGUUUCAAACAAAGGUAUGGAAGGAAACGUAAAUGCUCGUGGACAGACAGGAGUGCUGAUGCUCUCGCUUUUGCCGUGGCAGCCUUUGUCUAGAGACAAACUUAUCCAGCUCCUGGCAAGAUACGGAGUUGAGAGCUCAUCGCCACCGGUGGCUUUGCAACUUUGUCGCGAGUAAGCUGCCCAGCGACGAGCGAUCAAGGAGCGACAACAUACAGAGUUUUCAAGGGAUUGUCUUUUUGGCGGGACAGGCAAGCCCGGUUGGGAAAUUUGUAUAGACUCACUCUAUUAUGUACAGCUUUUUAGUGGAGCAUAGGAAUCAAAGAGAGGGACGAGAGAAAAGAAAGAUAGAAAGAGAGAAGAAGAAAAAAACCAUGGAAGCUCCAUUCAGCUGAAACAAAUGGAAAGAAGGAACUUAGAAUUUUUCAGUGCGCUAUGUCUGGAAAGGAAGAUCUUGGAGCUGUUUCAAUACAUCCCGGCUCUGAGAUGGCGGUCAAGUCUCUCGGCAUUGAAAGUUCCCGGAAUCUCGUGAAAAUCAUCGUUGAAGAUUGAGUAGGCACUGCACGGCACGUAUCCUUGUGAUCUGGAAUGGAAUGGAAGAAGUCUUCGUACCUGAUGUCGCCCUCUUGCCGCUUUCCCAGAUUCCAAACGAUGAGACAAAAGAUCGUUGCGAUUAUCUGCGACAGUGGUGUUAGUAGUAAAGAACACACAAAACAGCACUGUUUCUUACGUAGAGAUGGCCCAAGUCCCACGAAAUGGCGUAGCCAGCGACGAUGAGCCAGAGCAGGACCAUCAUCCAUCUUCUGAAACCAAAAGAGAAGAUGAUCAUCAGCACGAAGUCUGCUCAGAGAAAAAAUCACACCAGUGUCCAUGCUCACGCUUGAUGUAUGAUAAAAAAGGACAAGCUACCUGGAAACUUGAGCUUGUGCUUCAAGAACUGUACGAGUCUUCUCUCGAGCGGGGAUGCGGUCGCGGGAAGCUUGAAUCUCUGGACACACACAAAACACACUUAAAACCAACAAGAAGAUUGCUCAAAGGAAAAAAAACAAGAAAAACUCUCGUACCAAGUCAUCAUCCUCGUCUUCGUUUUUGCUCUGCGAGUGCACCGAAGGCGCCUUGGGUGGAAGAAGCACCAGCAACGAGUCUAAAAGGAAGAAGAAGAAGAAAAAAACGAUGAAUUCCACUCAAGAAAGAAACAAGAGUUAAAAAAUGUCCAUAGUCUCACCUCCAGCUCGAAUGUCGACAGUGGAGUAAUCAUCAGCAGCACCGAGAGCCUUGCCUCUAAACACGAGCUUCAGUCGAUUCACUUGAGAAUCCUCCACUAGGCCAAGCUCCUGGCUCACCAAUCUCCGCAACACACCGAUCUAGUAGAAAUCCCGCUCAUCAAUCGGAUCGAUUGGAUCAAUCGAUCGGCCACUCACCUCGCAUAGCGGCUCCACCUGGAUCACCCGGCGCCGCCGCGCGAAUCCAGCGACCUUGAGCUCCAGCGGCACCAUCCCCGGCGAGAAACCCUAGAGGUAGCGCUUUCGAAAUUUCCCGUUUAACGGGGGGGCUUUGUUCUUGGCUCUAUUUCAUUGCUCCAGCCAAAAUGGGAAGAGCUACUGCGUGAGCGAUGAAGGAUUCCGCCAAAAGGUUUCUCCUCCUCCCUUUCUCCGGCCUCCUGCCAUCGUCAAUCUGCGUCCUCCUCGCCGCCGCGCUCGUCUUCUUGGCAGCUCUCACGAUCCCAAACCUGGGACUGGGAUUCUCACCGCCGCUGGAGCUCCUCCUCAUCCAUCCCUACGCGCCGAUCGCUCAAUCGCCUGGGAAUCUCUCCACCGCCGCGCCACCGAGCGAUCCAGGUAGCCGAUCGGUGCCAAAUCUUGCUCAAAAUAUUUCGGUGCCAGCUCGAGGAGGAGGAGGAAGAGGAGGAGGAGGAGGAGGAGGGGAUUCCAUCGAUCGCGAGGCGCGAGUGUGCGAUCUCUACACAGGCAAGUGGAUGCCGGAUCCGCGCGGUCCCCUGUACCGCAACGAUGCGUGCCCCAUUCUUUCGCAGGCACAGAACUGUCAAGGGAAUGGAAGGCCGGACAGAGAUUACGAGUCUUGGAGAUGGGUGCCCGAUGGCUGCGGCCUUGCGCGCUUCAACGCCACCGAGUUCUUGCGCAUCAUGCGAGGCAAGGUCCUGGGAUUCGUGGGCGAUUCCGUGGCCAGGAACCAGAUGGAAUCGCUCAUGUGUAUCCUAAUGCAGGUAAGAGGAUCGUUCUAGCUCUUCUUGCUUCUCGCUUUCCUGGAUUGAUCUAGCUAGUUCUCAUUUGCUUGCUCUCCUAGGUAGCCAGUCUCGAUCGCGAUCAAUGUAGGUACUCUUUUUCCUGAUCGGAGUAGUAGAUGCUAGAUGGUUUUUUUUCCUCUCUUUCUCUCGAUCGCGGACUAACUGUGAGCUUCGAUUACCACACCAGGUGGAGAACCCCGUGAACAAAGGCAAUAAGAGGAUGCAACGCUGGUUUUUCCGCUCGAGCAAGGUCACCAUCGUCCGGAUCUGGUCGUCAUGGCUGGUGAAAUCCACACCCGGCGACGCCUCGGUGAAGAGCGCAACGAGAAUUCACAUCGAUCAACCCGACGCCAACUUCAUGGACUUCCUUCCCAGCGUGGACGUGCUCGUCAUCUCGUCCGGCCACUGGUUCGUGAAGAAGUCGGCGUUCAUGCGGGGUGGCCAGGUGGUGGGAACUCAGGGGUGGCACAGGCCGAACGCGACCAUGACCACCAGCAAAGCCUUCGCAGCGUCCAUGACCACGGCCCUCACCGCCAUCGCCGCCAGCCGGAACUACAAGGGACUCACGGUUUUUCGGACGUUCUCGCCGGAUCACUACAUCGGGGGGUCGUGGAACACGGGAGGGUCGUGCACGGGGAUCACGAAGCCUCUCACGGACAACGAGGUGAAAAGGAUUGGCAGCAGCGUCUUCACGAGCGAGAUGAGGCGGAUCCAACUCGAGGCGUUCGCGGAGGCGAAGAGGAACGCGAGCGGAGGAGGAGCCAGGCUCGUGCUCAUGGACGUGACUCGGGUGUUUGAGUACCGGGCAGACGGGCACCCGGGAUCGUUUCGAAGCAAAGAUCCCAGCGGCAAGGUGGCGGCGCAGGACUGUCUCCACUGGUGCAUGCCUGGACCUGUCGAUACGUGGAACGAGUUUUUGCUCCACAUCAUCGUCACGCACAAGAUCAACACGGCGGCUUGAUCCAUCAUCCAUUCUUUCGGGAAGCUCUCCAAUCCAUCUGUAAGUUUUGAUUCUUUGCAAGGGAAAGAAAGUUGCUACGAGACGAUGCUGGCGAGCAUCAUGUAAGGUGCUGAAUUCCCCGGCUCUAGCUCCGAUGCGUUCUCGGCUGCUCGAGCUGCGAGCUCGGCCUCGCGGUGGAGCUUGCAAGCGCUGAGCAUCGUCUUCCACGAGACGGCCUCGGGAAGAAAAGGCAUGGUUUCUACGAGCUCCUGUGCGUCGUCAAGCCGGCCCGAUCGACCGAGAGCGUCCACCAUGCAUCGAUACUGCUCCCUCGUCGCCUCGAUUCCAUAGUCGCUCGCCAUGGACAGGAAGAAGCUCCGGCUCUCCUCCACCAUUCCCAAGUGGCUGCGCGCUGCCAGGACGAUCGUGGCUGCGACCUCGUCGAUCUCCCAGCCUUCGUGGCUCAUGAUCUGGAAGAAGCCCAUUGCCCUCUUCCUAUCGACGCUGUAGCCAGUGAGCAUUGCGUUCCAGGAGAUGGUGUCGCGAGCAGGCAUUGUGUCGAAGAUCCAACGCGCUUCGUCCAGAUGCCCCUUUUGGGCAUUCACUGCGAUCAUGGCGUUCCAGGCUAUAAGAUCUGUGGCUGGCAUUUUCUGGAAGAGAUCUCUAGCCUCGACAAGCUUCUCGUGGCGAGCGUAUCCAGUGACCAUGAUAUUCCAAGCUAGAAUGUCCCUGAACUCCAUCGAAUCGAAGAGUUUUCUGGAUUCUAGCAAAUGCCCUCUCUCGGCAUAUGCAGAGAUCAUCAAAGUCUGGAUCACAACGUCCAAAUGCUGCAUCGAAUCCAUAAUGUUUUGAGCCUCCUCGAGAAUCCCGUGCUGGACGUAGCAUUUGAUCAUCUCGGUUUGCGAGAGCAUGUCGUGCUCGUCGCGCUGGAUGGAAUCGAAGACCAGCUUUGCUUGCUGGAUCAUCCCGGCUUGCGAGUAGGCCGCGAUCAUCAGGGUCUUAGCAAUCACGUCCCUCUCGGGCAUCGCAUCAAACGCCUCCUUGGCGUCGGCGAGGCUGCCAUCGCGGACAAGGGCGUGGAAGAGGGCAUUCCACGUCACCGUGUGUCGCUGUGGCAUUUUUGCAAAGACAAGCCUGGCUGUGCCGAGGUGGCUCGCCGCGUCAGCUAGCGCUUGAAAGAGAGCCGUCCACGUCACUACGUUUCUCUCCGGCAUGGAGUCAAACUCCUGCUUGGCCUCGUCCAGGUGACCGUUGGCGGCCAGUCCCGACAUGAGGCUCGUCCAUGUCACUAUGCUUACGAGAGGCAUCUUGUGGAACGUGGCGCGGGCACCAGCCAGCUGUCCCUCUCGUGCGUAGCCAAAGAGUAUAAUAUUCCACGUCACUAAGCCACGUCCGCGUGGCAUCUCAUCGAACAAGCUUUUAGCACGAUCAAAAUGACCAGACUGGGCAUAUGCUGAGAUCAUAGUGUUCCAAGAACGCUCAUUGUAACAAUCUAGACUGUCAUACGAAUAAUUGCCAUAAGUUGUUAGGGCACUGGAGUUAGAGCUAGUGAUAUGAUCUGAUAUGGACCUUUGGCCUUUCUCAAGCAAAACGUUGAAGAGUUUUUCGGCUUCCUCAAGAUGCCCAGCUUGGGCAUUUGCUGAGAGAAAAGCGUUCCACACGACUGUGUCGUGUUGUGGCAUUCUAAAGAAUGUGGCAGUGGCGGAAACAAGGUCUCGGUUCUCUGAGAAUGACUGAAGCAAGAUGUUCCAGGAAUAAGAAUUGCGUUGCGGGGUGGACUCGAAAACUUGGAAUGCCUCCGCUGGGCGAUUGCAGCGUCCAUACAUGAGGACGAGGAGAUUGGCGAGGAAGGUGUUGGAGCUGUGGCGGCUGUGGAUGAUAGCGGCGUGGGCUUCUCUCCCGCGCAAGAGAUCCCGGGCAUCGAUGCAGCUCCUCACUGCCUGGGCGAGUCGAUCCUUCUCGCCCACCAUGGUGGAGAUUAAAAAAAACGAGCAGAGAAUAUGCGACGCAUCGCUCUGGGCCUAGGUUUUGGUUUUGAUGCGUGGCGGAGCUGGGAGGUGGAGCGUCUGGAAUGCAGGGCAUGCUGCGCCACGAUCUUCUCGCCGGCACUGAUGUCACAACAGCUGCUCCUGGCGAUUUCCUCCAUUUCAAGGCUCACGUCCCUCUGCGACAUAUCUGGGUACGCAAUCGAUCGAUCACUCCAUCCCUAUUCAUCCAUGAUUCUCGAUCGAAAUCUCCUCUCACAGGUGGGAAACAAGCACUGGCGGUACUACCAGUCGGGACCAAAGCUCUUGCCGCCUUUGGUGUGCCUGGGAGGGACUUCCUCCACUGCCGAGGUCUUCUACAAGAUUAUUCUCUCCCUCUCCGCCAAGGUAUUGCUCUUCCUUCGUUCUUCUUCCUUUUGUUCAUGCAUUUUGUUGUUUAGAGACGUUGUAAACGUAUUUUUCGAUUCUUCUUUCAGGGCUAUCACGUAAUUGCUGCUGAUGCUCCUCCCGUGUGGAGUCACCAGGAAUGGAUCGCUUCGUUCGAGAAGUUUUUGGAUCAAAUUGGUGCACACCAUGUAAGUAUGAUACAAGGUGUGCUUCCGGAAUUUUUCUAAUGUUUCUCUCUUUGGUUUUUGUUAAGGUUCACUUGUAUGGUACUUCUCUCGGUGGGUAUUUGUCGCAGCUAUUUGCUCAGCAGCGUCCGAGGAGAGUAAAAUCGCUACUUCUCUCAAAUACGUUCUUGGAAACACACACUUUUGCUUCAAAAACUUCUUGGAAACCAUUGUGAGUAAGAACUUUCUGCUGUUUUUGAUCAAAGACUUCGCUUCUUACAGGAUAAGUUGGACGCCCGAGUUCAUGCUAAAGCGAUACAUCCUCUCAGGAAUUCAUGAGGGGCCGCAAGAACCUCUCAUUGCCGAUUCAAUAGAUUUCGUGGUCUCCCAGGUAUGUGCCUCAUUUUGAGGAACUUCAUAUCCUACGUUUCGAUUCCCGACAGUUCGAGACCCUUUCCCGCGAAGAUCUCGCAUCACGCUUGACACUCAACACGUCUCCUGCUGCAGUAGGCCAGAUCACACUCCCGGACUCGUGCAUCACCAUCAUGGACGUAAGCAUUCCCGCCUUUCGAGACAUUUACUAAAGCUUAACUUACAGACGAAUGACUACUGUGCCAUCCCGCAGUCUCUCAAGGACCAAGUGGCUGCCAGAUAUCCCACCGCCCGAAGAGCCAUGCUAAAGUCCGGUGGAGAUUUCCCCUUCCUCUCUCGAGCAGCCGAAGUUUCACUUCACGUACAGGUAGCAGCGAUCUCGUCUUUUCCCCUGAUCCUCGUAACUUUGCCUCGCAGCUCCAUUUGAGGAGAGUGGGAGUGGAAGGCGUUCCCGACGCUCGUCCAAUCCCAUCCCCUGGGAGUGGUGGAAGCGGGGACUCCGCCGGCGACGAUCAAUACCAAGGCCGGAGCCCCGACGGAGACCGAAGCUCUGCCGCGAGAGACGAGCCAUCUUCGAGCAGUCCAGCAGCCACCGACCGGAGCUUCUCUCCAAACGCCACGGACUCGUUCAAGCGACUCGGUCUCGCAAAUCACCUCCAGGCCGACUUGCAAAUCUCUCACCUCUUUUCUUUGCUGUGUUUGUUAGCCGCUGUACAAGAAUUUUGGUUUUGUUCGCCAGUAGCUACUUGUCCGAGCUUGAAAGUUUGAUCGUUUUCUUUGUUCUUGUAAUUUACAACCACCUUUUUUUUCUACCAAUCACAAGUUGGUUUUAGUAACCCUACCACCUUUUUUUCAUGCGUACCUACCUUUAUCCUGCCACCUUUUUUUCAUGCGUACCUAUCUUUACCCUACCACCUUUUUGCCCAAGCCCUACCACCUUUUUACCACCUUUUUAUGACACGAAACGUGCCCUUUGUCGCAACGCUAUGACAUUGCACAUGUUAAAGAGCGUGGAAAGUUUCAAUACUCAAUCAAAUCCGUGUUGUGCACUACUUGCAAAAUUCUUUCCUCAUCGUCAAGUGACGUUACAAUGGAAAAUCGUUGUUAAAAAAGAAUACUCGCGUGUCGGGUUAGCGGCCAAGACUUGGAAGAAUAGGAGGGAACGCGACGAUUUCCCGUCAACACCAAACCGUUGGAAUUGCUGGUGGCGGUGUUCUUGAGCUAGAUCUCUGCUGUUCUUCCACCAGAUUCAAGGCCUGGAGCAGCUUGGGCCAGCUCUCGCUCACGCCCCCGCGAACAUCAAAAUUGACCAGCUUCCCCUGCUUGCGGUAGAAAUCCUCCACUGGUUUGCUCUCCUCGUCGUAAACCUGGAGCCUCUUCUGGAUGCUCUGCUCGGAAUCGUCCUUCCUCGUCACCAUCUUGUCCAGGCACUGGAUCGGCGGAGGAAUCGCUGGCAUCCUCAGAUCGCCCACUGAAACAUCGGCCAUGCUGAACACUCGCCCACACUCUCCACACACCCUCCGGCCCAGGCACUUCUGGAUCAACACCUCGCGCUCCUGGGCGAAGUUCACAGCUACGUGAACGUCCGCUAUCUUGUCUAGCACGAUCGCCUGGUUCACCGUCCUGGGGAAUCCGUCCAGGAUGAAUCCCUUGUCGCCCCUGGCAGCCCCCGCCUGGAGCCGCGAGUGGAGCAAUUCGAACACCUCCUCGUCGCCCAGGAGCUUCCCCUUGCUCACAACCUCGGCGAUGCGCCGGGACAUGGAGCUCACCUUCUUCAUCUCCUCGCGGAUCAAAUCGCCAGUGGAGAUGUGAGGAACGUCGAGCAGCGCCGCGAGCUUGAUCCCAAACGUCCCCUUGCCGGCUCCCGGCCUCCCCAGCAACACCAAAUUGAGCUCUCGCUGCUUCCGCGGCUCCUCCUCCAUCGCCUUGCAAAUCUCCGGCAUCAAACCUUGGUGGUGAUCCUCCUGCGAGAUCGGUGGCAGUGGAAGCGGAUCCACGAUCGUCUUCUUCUUCUGGCAGUGGCCCAUCCCGGACAACCUGUUAGCUAUCCCAGAGAUCUGGGGCAUUGCUCGUCUCCCUGCUAGCGCCAUUGUGUCUCUUCCUUUUCCGAUUAGGCCACAAGAAAGCCCUCUCUCUCAUAUACACGGAAAAAGGGCAGUAAAGGAAUAUCCCGCGUGGCUUGACCGGUCAACAGUCGGCGGGGGGUCAACCAUCAUUCGCGGUCAAAAGCGCGCGCGUGGAAGAGAAACGUGGAAAGUGCUUUUACCACUAGAAGUUACCAGUGACGUCGUAGUCUCACCCACGCCACGGCACCGACCACCGCGCCGCCCAGAUGGCCUACGUGGCUUAUGGUGGAUGCCACCUGGCAAGCAGACAAACAAGCAAGCCAUUAGAGAACGCUUCCCAAAACUUUGGAAGAAACCACGCAAGAGAACUUACAUCGGAAACUCCCCACAAAUCCUUGAGGAUCAUGUAAGCUCCCUGUGGAGUGAGCGAUCGCGUCAAAUUCUCACAGCAUUGGAAUGGGAAAAACAAAAACUUAGGAAAGAUCGAUCGCUUACAAACAGGGCAGCUGGGACUGGGAAGAGGAAAUCGACCAAGAUGACGCGCGUUGGAUUGAGCAUGAUGUUGAGGACCACCAGCGCGUUGAUGGCUCCACUGGCGCCCUGUGGAAAAAACGUGUCGCGCAUCAAACAGCACGCGAGAGAUAGAGGAAGAUCACGCUUUUCUCUCGACUCACCAGCGCUGGUGGGACAAAUCGGGCCACAAAGGUGCUGUGACGAAGCCCCUGGGAAAACCAAAAAAUGUGAAUGACGAUACGAGGAUCCAGAAGAAGAAUCGCUGCGCUUUUAUCGAACCUUGAGCCAGGGAUAGAUGUAAUAGCUAUAAGCCAAGUGUCCGAAGGAGCUAACGAGGCCACCCGCAAAGUAGAUCAUGUAGAGCCUUUUGCUGCCGAAUCUAUAAGCGAUCUGCGAAGCGGAGUGAGCACGCGAGAGAGAGCGAAGAUCCGGAUCGAAAGAGAACAGGAGAGAUCACAAGACCUCGGUGCCAAAAAAGUAUAGGCCGAGUAAGUUGGAUGCCAAGUGCCAGAACUCGUUGUGGCUGAAGAAGUUUGUGACGAGAGUGUGGAGUCGGCCACUCAACACGUUGUGCAUGGAGAUCUGAGUGUCACAAUUGUCACGAGAGAAUUUCUAGCAAAAGAAAAAGAGAGAAAGAAACCGACCGUGAAAUGCUCGGUCAUGAAAACCGGGUCGAAAACCUUCCACAGGAAGAACACCGAAACGUUGGCACCGAUCAAAGUCCACAAAGCAACAUCGGGUCGAGCGUAUCCUCCACCCCUGAUAGAGUUCCAAGAAAAAUAAACAUCACCCUCGAAGAAGAUCAUAGAAGAUCAUAGCAUAGGAAAAAAACGAUCUUUGUUACCCUGGCAAGCGGCCGAGGCUGGAGUAUCUCCAGCGCUGCGAGAAGCGAUUCACAAGCCGGUUCCAUUCUCGCACGGCGGGCUGCAACUCGGCUGGGAUCUUGAGCUUGCUUCCCUGGAAACUUGUCCGAAACUGGCUGCUGCUCGUCCGCGUCGCGUGAAUCCAGCAAGUGAGAGGCCGCCAUUCGGUGCUCGUGGCGAUCUUUGAUGUGCCCAAGAAACCACUCACGCUCGUCUUACCAGCGGUCGCACAGAUUCUGCGCACUGCCGCCAUUUCCACCCUAAACGAAGACCAAGCUUUUGGAAUUCCAGGAAACCUUUGUAUUGUUUUGCAGUCUCGAGAGAACGAGAGUUCGCUCCAAAUUCCACCAUUUCGUUUCCUCUCCCGCGGAAUUGGAGAGCGAAAAGAAUCUGAAAGGUUGGCACCGAUUAGAAAAACUGGCUUUUUGGUUCGAGGAAGCCUCACACGCUAUGAGAUAGAUCGAGAGAUGUCCGCUGUUCCUUCCAGAAACUUAGAUUUUGGAGAGAAGAACAAUGCAAGUGGAGAACUUCUUGUGCUGGAUCAUUGCUUUCGAAUUCGCGCUUUUUAUUUACAUCGAUUUGGCGAAGAACAUCAUGGGAGGAUUGGAUUCGUGUUGUUGGUGGAGUGGCAUUGGAUUUGGAGUGACGAGACGAGGAGCUUGUGUGUUUUCCUAGCCCUGAUCGCUUCGCGUCCCAGUGUUCGUGGAGGCCGAUCUUCUCCUGUGCCUUCCGCGUCUACGCCUCUGCGAAAAAAGAGAUUUUUGAGUCAAGUUCCACUGGACGAUUGGGUGAUCUUACUCCUCGCCCUCGGCGCCGCCUCCGCCGGCGCAUCAAAGAGGGGCUUGUCGACGCUGUUCUUGCGGGUCGCACCAUUUCUCCUGUCCUCCCAAACUCUAGCAAUGCUUCGCCAUAGUUUUCUCCAGCAAUGUAUAUCCCCGGAACAGCCGCGACCCUUGGAUCUGCCACGUCACUGAUUAGAUCAGCCACGUCAGCGAUCCCCGGAACAAAACCCUAGGCUCGUACGGAGCUUAUUAACUGGAGUUUUAAACUCUUUUGGGCGAGGGAGGAGCGAGGAAUAGAUUCGGCAUGGGGAGCGCGCGGCGGCCCAAGAAUCCCAUCCAGGCGCUCGUCUGGAGGAUCCAGCGCCAGAAUCCCCGCGUCAAGGCCGCGCUCCUGGCGCUGGCGGCAGUGAUUGGGAUCGUCUUCCUCAGGUAUGUCGUCAAGGAUCACGACACCCUCUUCGUCGCCUCCGAGUGCGUCCACGCCCUGGGGAUCGUCAUUCUCAUCUACAAGCUCCAGAAGGAGAAGAAUUGCGCCGGUAAGGAUCCAUGGAGCGAUCGAUCGAUUCGAUCGCUCAUUAGCUACAGCUAGGGCCGCGUCAAAUCACUUAAAUAACUUUCUUACAAGUGUGUGUUUCUCGUGUUUCUUAGGUGUGUCUUUGCGAUCGCAGGAGCUUACAGCGAUUUUUCUUCUCGUCCGGCUCUACUGCUCCACUUUCAUGGAGCAAAACAUCCACACUUUCCUCGACACGGCCACGCUCCUCGUCACGGCCUGGGUGAUUUAUAUGAUCCGGACCAAUCUCAAGGCAACUUAUGUCCAGGAACUCGAUAACAUGCCACUCUACUAUGUGGUAAGCUUUGUUUUUCUCGUCCGGGACUUGAGUUCUAUCACUCCUUUUUGGUUUUCCUUUCAGCUGGCUCCAUGCGCAGUGCUCGCUAUCCUGGUUCAUCCUCUCAUCCGGUACCACCUUAUCAACAGAGUUUUGUGGGCGUUUUGUGUGUAUUUGGAGGCCGUCUCCGUGCUGCCUCAGCUUCGGGUGAUGCAAAAGGCUAAGGUAGGCCAAUUCUCUAUGUUUCUUCGCUCACUUAUCUUGGAUUUGAUCCACAGCUUAUAGAACCCUUUACUGCGCUCUACGUUUUCGCCCUUGGGGUUGCAAGAUUUAUCAACUGUGCGCAUUGGCUGCUCCAGGUAUGAAUCUCAUUGCAAGACAAGAGGAAGGUCAUGUAAAAAAACGCAUUUUUCUUCUCCUUUUGCAGCUGAUAGAUGGACGUGGCUACCUCUUCUACACGCUGGGAACGCAGCUCAAACACCGGAGCUUGAUUCCUUAUGGCUUGUGGCCUGCCAUGGUUGUGGUCGCCGAGAUUGUCCAGACAUUCAUCCUUGCCGAUUUCUGCUACUACUACGUAAAGAGGUAUGGAUCAAAAGAAGAAAAAAGCCAUUUUUUCCAUGAAAUUUACGAUUUCUUUGUUUGUGACAGUGUGGCGGAGGGCCAGAUGAUGAUCCGGUUGCCUUCAAGUGUCUAGAAUUUCAUUUGGUUGUACAAGUCUUUUCUCCUCCUUUAAACUUUCUUAAGUUAACUUAAAAUGGCCGAUUAAAAGAGUACCUUUAGGGCUAGCUAGCUAGGGCAAUUUGGAUUGAGCGCCAUGGAAGACAAGCAGCUGUUGCUGGCGCAGUUCAUGGAGGUGGUAGGCGAGCCUGCCGAUCGCUGCCACCAGUUCCUCGAGGUUUGAUCCCUCCCUGAUCGCUCUUCUUGAAGGAAAUGCCGAGUGAUUUUGUGUAGGCGACGAACUGGCAGCUCGAGGAAGCGAUUCAGCUCUUUUUCGCUGGCGGAGGUGUCGAGAUUGGAGCUCCGCCUUUAGCAGCGGAGCCCCCGCCAAUGAGCAAGCCUGUCCAUGCGGAGCCACCUCCAGUAGUGCUCCCUUCUCCAAGGUGAGAGUUUUCCUUCGUUCUUUCUCGUUCCUGGAUGAAAAGAAAGGAUUUUUUUCCUCUCAGUGGGGGAGAUGACUACGUUCGUCCACCACUGCCUGUGAAACGCGAGGCCUUGUACGAGGAUAUCUUCCAAUACAGGUAAGAAAACGAAGAUCACCAUCUCCUUUUCUCAUUCUCUUUGGAUGGUUUUCCAGAGCACAAAGAAGGGCGCAAGCAGGUCCCGUCCAGCCGACUCCUGUGGAUGCUUUCCGGAACUUCGAGGACGAGUUUAACUCCAGAAUCGCCAAGCCCUCCCCUGGGAGCUCUCCCGUGGGUGCCAAAGCUCCAACGCUUGCGUCCCUGUACCGUCCGCCACUGGAGCUCAACUUCGAGGGAAGCUUCGAACAGGUACGAAGGACGCCACUUUUCCCAGACGAGACCAUCUUUCUCCGCAUGUUUAGGCGAAAGCAGAAGCAGCCAAGCAAGGAAAAUGGUUGCUCAUCAACUUGCAAUCCCAUACAGAGUUUGCGAGUCAUAUGGUAUGAUUAUAGCUCCACAAGUAAGCUUGCAAACUGUGUUUUCUCAUCUACGAGCUGAUGCUUUCUGUGUAGCUGAACAGAGACACCUGGGCACACGAGGCCGUCAAGGACACGGUGAGGAUAACCUUCGUCUUCUGGCAGGUAUUUGUGAUGUUUGAUAGCAUUCGUGGCCUCACUUCUUCUUUGCUGGUUUUAGAUCUACGAUGACACCGAGGAAGGAAAGAAGGUGUGCACGUACUACCGCUUGAAUACCAUGCCUACCAUUCUGGUGCUGGAUCCUUUAACUGGCCAGAAGAUGAGAUCCUGGGAGGGUAUGGUAGGCGCGGAGAGACUGCUCGAGGUAUAUGUUUUAUUCACCACUUUCUAUAGAGAGUUUUCUAUAGAGACUUACAACACUUUCAGGAUCUUGUCCAAUUCAUGGAUAGAGGUCCCAUGGAGAACCACACUCAAAAGCGACCACGAGAUGUGGAACAACAGCAACAGCAACAGCAACAGCAGCAGCAGCAGCAGCAACCACAACAGCAGCUGGAUCAAGGUAGAGCUCGACGCUGAGUUGCCAGCAAUCUUUUCACUUUGUUCUUGGCAGGCCCGGCUGAUACCGACGAAGACAAGGAACUCCAGCGGGCCUUGGCAGCUUCGUUGGAGAGCCAAACCGAGCCUUCUUCGGCGGCGGAGCAUGUCAAGGCCCGCGGCAGCAAGCAUCCAGCGCUGCCGGACGAGCCCAAGCCCGAAGAGCCAGAAACUUGCCGCGUUGGAGUGCGUUUUCCCGAUGGCAAGAGGGGCCAGCGGAGGUACUUUCGAUCCGAUCCACUAACUGUAAGUGGAAAACCAGCGAUGUUCUUCCUUUCUCGCUUCUCAUGUUGGUCGUAUCGUGUAUGAGCAGUACCUCUGGUCGUAUUGCUGCUUGAACGUGGAGGAGGCCGCCAGCGGCAGAAAGUUUCGCCUCACGCUCACCAUUCCUGGUGGGAGGUCUCUCGAGUACGAUCCCAGCAUCACCAUCGAUGAAGCAGGUGUUGCCAACGCCAUACUGAACAUGGCAUGGGAUUGAUCGCUAGUUUUCUUUUCUCCUUCGCCUGUAUCUGGCAAUCAUCUCAACGCGUAGUCAGUCGUAAGAACUCUUUCAAUCAAAACAUGAUUUUUAAGGCUUUUGUUUUGCAAACCUGGUAAUCAUUCUGUCCGAGGACGAGCGCCCCGUGAGUCGGCAGUCAUGAGUCGACAGUCAGACACAGAUAGCUCCAAAAGAUACCUGAAACUCCAGACACGAUAAAUUCCUCUGCAAAGCUGCUACCAACGCGCUCUGGUUCUUCUGUAUAUUUCAAUGUAGCCAGCAAAGAACUUCCAGGUUUGGCGAUGGAGAAGGUCCCGCUGCUGCUGCUUGUAGCGAUGGUGGUGCUAGCAGCAGCAGCACUUCCGGUUCUGGGACAAGAAGUAGAAGCUGAAAACGAGGCGUUCGAUCCAAACGACGACUUCGAGUUCCAGAUGAAGAAGCCGAAAAUUCUCGUCAAAGGCCAUGUUGUCUGUGAUCGAUGCUGGCACGGACGUGUUGGCAACAUGAGCCUCCCUCUCCAUGGUACGCAAGAAAACCAUCUUUGGUAGAAGUUUGAGAGAAGUUCUUCGUUCUUGUGUCGAGCAGACGCCGAGGUAGGCAUCAAAUGCGUGGACCUGUAUGGAUUCGUGACCUUCUCCGGCGUUGGAUACACCAACACUCACGGCGUCUUCACCAUUCCCAUGGACGAGAUUCCAGCCAUCUUCGGCGUUAAGGGAUGCAAAGCCAAGCUUCUGCGAGGCCCAAGCACCGGCGACUGCGAUGAGGUGAGCUCCAUGGGAGAUGGUCACACGGGAGCUCCGCUUCUACUCGUCCACAAAUCCCUGCGAGAGGUCGUGUUUACUUCCGGUCCCUUCGCGUGCCGGCCUCUCAAACGUCCGGGAGCUUGCAAAACCGCCGCUGCUCCUCCUCUUCCUCCUCCGCCAGUUUACAAGUACUCGUCACCACCGCCACCGUUCAAGCACGUCCCAAACCAUCAUCCACCCCCGCCAAGCGUUCCCAGCUACCAUUCUCACACUCCUCCGCCUGUUUCUCACCAUCCGCCACCACCAUCUCCACGACCAGUUGCUCCUCCAGUUUCUAAGUCGCCGUUCAAUCCAUACAUUUACAAGUCCCCACCCCCACCACCUCCAGCUCCUGUGAAAUACCAUCAUCCACCUCCGGCUCCAAUCUACUUCCGCAAAACUCCACCUCCGCAGAUCCAUCCUUCACCACCUCCUGUAACUUCUCACAAGUAUCCGCCUCCAAUGGCACCUCAGAAGCCAUUACCACCACCUCCUGUAACUUCUCACAAGUAUCCGCCUCCAAUGGCACCUAAGAAGCCAUCGCCACCACCAAGUAGCAAGCCGCCACCUCCAAAAUCAUCACCUGGGCCUGUUACAAAGCUUCCAC
rnacentral:lncRNA from 1 species